rnacentral:lncRNA from 1 species
GGUUGAGUACUCCAAAUCUAAAAAAAUCCAAAACCCGAAUUUGCUGAAAGUUUUUGAGCACCGACAUGAUGCUCAAGGAAAAUGCAAACUGGAAUAUUUCAGAUCUCAUAUGUUCAGAUAACAGGUGCUCUACCGGUGAGGCCUUUGAAAGGUGGAACCCUCAUGGAUGGGAUUAGUGCCCUUCUAAAAGAGGACUCAGAGAGCCUUUUUGCCCUUUCUGCUAUUUGAGGAACAGUGAGAAGACAGCCAUCUAUGACCCAGAAAGUGAGCCCUUGCCAAACACUAGAUCUACCAGAGCCUUGAUCUUGGACUUGCCAGCCUCCAGAACUGGGAGAAAUAAAUUUUUAUUGUGUAAGACAACUAGUCUGUGAUAUUUCGUCAUGGCAGCCAAAGCAGACCAAUGUAUCUAAUAAAAAUUAUGUAUGGCCUAAUAUGAAGAAAAUGAUGAAUUUUUCAGAGAGAGAUAAAAAUGACCCAAAUAACCCUGGAUUGGGAGGUUCGGUAUUGUGAAUAUGGGGAUUCUCUCCCAAAAUAAUAGAUAUUUAAUAGAAUCCUACUUAAAGUUACAAAGGAGUUACAAGGAGUGUUCCUUUACCAGCUGAUUCAAUAAUUCAAUAAUUCAAUAAUUUCUCAAGAGAAAUUAUGUUGGAAUAACAAACAUUUUUUGGACAAGAAAAGAAAAAAAAAUACAAAUGUGGGUGGGCUAACUCUAAUCCUAACUCUGACCCUGACCCUGACCCUGACCCUGUGUGCCUAUGUGUAUAUGUGCAUGUGUGUAUGUAUAUUGAAGAUGGUAUUUCAAAUCAAUGACAUAACAAUGGCAUGGUCAAUAAAUGGUAUUUAAAUAAUGAGAUAUUCAUCAAACAAAUAAAGUUAGAUCCUUACCUAGCACCAUACACAAAUAAAUAAUUUCAGGCAAAUAUAUUAAAGAUUUAACAAAGUAUUUGCAGUGAUCACUGUGUUUUGUUUUGUUUUGUUUUGUUUUGUUUUGUUUUGUUUUGUUUGAGACAGGGUCUUGCUCCGUUACAGUCAUGGCUUACUGAAGCCUAAACCUCCCAGGCUCAAGUGAUCCUCCAGAAGCCUCCCACAUAACUGGUACUACAGGUGUGUGCCAUCCCACCCAGCUAAUAUUUUGGUUUUGUUUUUUGGUAGAGGUGAGGUCUUAUUAUGUUUUUCAGGCUGGUCUUGAAUUCCUGGGCUCAAGUGAUCCUCCUGCCUCAGCCUCCCAAAGUGCUGGAAUUAAAGACAUGAGUCACUACAACCAACUGAUCACCGUGUUUUAUUCUCCCUCCUU